UUGAAUGUGACGUCCUCCAUGCAGUGCAGUCGAGCGGCAGAUUUGAAAAGCUUGCUUUUCAAAUCUUAGCGGCGGACGGGUGAGUAACACGUGGGCAACCUGCCCUUGAGACGGGGAUAACUCCGGGAAACCGGAGCUAAUACCGGAUAACACAUAUCUUCGCAUGAGGAUAUGUUAGAAGGUGGCUUUUAGCUACCACUCAAGGGUGGGCCCGCGGCGCAUUAGCUAGUUGGUGAGGUAACGGCUCACCAAGGCGACGAUGCGUAGCCGACCUGAGAGGGUGAUCGGCCACACUGGGACUGAGACACGGCCCAGACUCCUACGGGAGGCAGCAGUAGGGAAUCUUCCGCAAUGGACGAAAGUCUGACGGAGCAACGCCGCGUGAGUGAUGAAGGUUUUCGGAUCGUAAAGCUCUGUUGUUAGGGAAGAACAAGUACCUGUUAAAUAAGCAGGUACCUUGACGGUACCUAACCAGAAAGCCACGGCUAACUACGUGCCAGCAGCCGCGGUAAUACGUAGGUGGCAAGCGUUGUCCGGAAUUAUUGGGCGUAAAGCGCGCGCAGGCGGUUCCUUAAGUCUGAUGUGAAAGCCCACGGCUCAACCGUGGAGGGUCAUUGGAAACUGGGGAACUUGAGUGCAGAAGAGGAGAGCGGAAUUCCACGUGUAGCGGUGAAAUGCGUAGAGAUGUGGAGGAACACCAGUGGCGAAGGCGGCUCUCUGGUCUGUAACUGACGCUGAGGCGCGAAAGCGUGGGCGAGCGAACAGGAUUAGAUACCCUGGUAGUCUCACGCGCGUAAACGAUGAGUGCUAAGUGUUAGAGGGUUUCUCGCCCUUUAGUGCUGCAGCAAACGCAUUAAUGCACUCUCCCCUGGGGGAGUACGGUGCGCUAGCACUGUAAACUCUAAAGGGAAUUCGACGGGGGACCCGCACUAAGCGGGUGGAGCAUGUGGGUUUAAAUUUCGAAGCAACGCGGAAGGACCCUUAGCCAGGGUCUUGAACAUCCCUCUGGCUACUUUCUAGAAGAAUAGAAAGGUUCCCUUUCGGGGGAACAGGAGUUUAUUAGAAGGGGUGCAUUGGGUUUUUCCC
rnacentral:rRNA from 1 species